CAUUUUUGCUGAGCCAUUCAUCCUGCACUAGCUACUUACUGCAUACAAAACGCAAAAGCAAGCUGCUCUGUCCACUGACCUUGAUUAGCGGCCAUGGAGGAGUUUCUGGUGAGCGCGGCGACGGGGGCCUUGGGACCCGUUCUGGGGAAGCUGGCGACCCUGGCCGGCGACGAGUACAAGCGCCUCAAGGGGAUCCGCGGCGAGAUCGAGUCGCUCUCCCGCGAGCUCGACGCCAUGGACGCCUUCCUGGAGAAGAUGUCGGAAGAGGAGCCUGAGGACCCGCAGGACAAGGCCUGGAUGAAGGAGGUGCGGGAGCUCUCCUACGACACCGAGGACAGCAUCGACGACUUCAUGGCUCGCGUCGCCGCCGGUGACGAUGGAUCUGACCACGGUAUCAUGGGCAAGAUCAAGGGCUUGGUGGGCCGGACCAAGGAUCGACACCGAAUCGCCAAGGCCAUCGAGGAUCUGAAGAGGCAGGCCGUGUUGGUGAGCCAGAGGAAUGCCAGGUACAGAUCCGGCGAAACAUCCGCUUCCGUCUCCAACAAGUCCAAGAUUGACCGCAGAGCUCUUGCCAUUUUCGAGGAUGCGUCCAAGCUGGUCGGUAUUGAUGGCCCCAAGGAUGAAGUGAUCCAGCUGUUGGCCGACAACGGCGAGCCAACGCAGCAGCAGAAACCGAUCAAGCUGGUCGCCGUCGUUGGGUCCGGAGGAUUGGGGAAGACGACUCUGGCAAACCGAGUGUAUCAAGAGCUCAAAGGGGGGUUCGAUUGCCAUGCUUUCCUGUCCGUAUCAUAGAAUCCAGACAUCGUCAGAGUUAUGAGUAAUAUUUUCAGUCAGUUGAACAAGGGAUACUCUUCUCCUGCCAAGGAAGACUUGCCGCAACUUAUCACCAAGAUUCGGGAUUUCCUCACCGACAAAAGAUACUUUAUUGUAAUUGAUGAUAUAUGGAAGGUGGAAACAUGGGAUGUCAUUAAGUGUGCAUUUCCCACAACCGGUUCUGGCAGUAUAAUAAUCACCACCACUCGUAUAAAUGUUGUCGCUCAGUCAUGCCGAUCAUCAUUCAUUGGCCAUAUAUAUAAUAUGAGGCCUCUUAAUAUGGUGCACUCGAGGCAACUAUUCUAUGGAAGACUAUUCGACUCUGAAGAAAAAUGCCCUUUGGACCUUAAAGAAAUUUCCAGCCAAAUCUUGGAAAAAUGUGCUGGUUUACCAUUGGCGAUCAUUGCUAUCGCUGGUUUGUUGGCUGACAAGGCAAGUAAAAAGGAUAAAUGGGAGCAAGUGAAGGAUUCAAUUGGGCGUGCACUAAGAAAUGCUAGCGUCGAUGUAAUGGUAAACAUAAUAUCUCUUAGUUACCUGGAUCUUCCUCGUCAUCUUAAAACUUGUCUACUGUAUCUGAGUAUAUUUCCAGAAGAUCAUACUAUCAAUAAGGAGAAUUUGAUAAGGAGAUGGAUUGCAGAGGGAUUCAUUCAUAAGCAAGAGGGUUAUACACUGCAUGAGUCAGGAGAGAUGUGCUUUAACGAGCUCAUCAACAGGAGCUUGAUCCAGUCGGCAGAGCUAGACAAGACAUUCGGUCAUGAGGUGAAGAGCUGCCGAGUUCAUGACACAGUUCAUGAUUUCAUUGUAUCCAGGGCUGUUGAGGAGAACUUUGUUACUAUAAUAGGUGUGCCUGGUGUAAACCCCGACCCACGAAUCAAGGUUCGUCGGUUGUCUAUGCAGAACGAUGGUGAGAUUCCGGCGGGUCUGGUUAUAUCUAGUGCCCGGUCACUCCAUGUUUUUGGGCGUAAUGCGAAGAUCCCAUCUCUGUCGGAGUCCAGACUCUUGCGUGUUCUAGACUACGAAAACUGCUCGCAGUUGGAAGAUGAUCACCUUGCGGGUAUCGGCAAUUUGUUGCACCUCAAGUACCUGAGGUUCAAGAAUGCAGAUGCCCUGAGAAAGCUUCCGGAACAAGUAGCAAGGGCACCACACUUGGAGAUUGACAUACUCUAUCACAAAAAAAUAAUGGAAAUUCCUGCGACCAUCAGGCAGGUCAAAUGGUUGGCCUCUACUGACAUUAACUCUAAAGUACUGUAUGAAGCCACAGCCAUGCAAGGAUUACAAGUGCUGCGCGGUCUCAAUGUUUUUGCACAGUCAACUGAGUUUCUCGUAGGGCUUGGCCAGCUGAAAAAGCUAAGGGUGCUGGACACAAUAUUCUGGACGUUCCACAUGAUGGAAAAAAUUGAAGAAGCGGAUUCGUUACUUGGGGAUGUGAAAUUUGCAAAGAUAGUCUCUUCCAUAGCUGAACUAAGCAAAGCUGGCCUCGAGUCUUUGGUCAUUCAAGCCCUCCUGACGGUAGGCAGGAUCUUUGAGUGUGAGUACUGGUUCCCGGAAUCUGAUACUCCGUACAGCCUUCGGGAACUUGUCAUUGCUUCGGUACUAGUCCGGGUUCCAACAUGGAUGGCCCGACUCGUCAACCUUGAGAAACUGCGCAUCGGAAUUGAUCGUAUUGGGGAGGAAGACUUGGAGAUCCUGGGAGGCCUGCCCUUCCUGCGCCAUCUCUGGAUUCAAGCGUGGUGGCAUAAAUCCGUAAAGACGAGGCACCUGAGUUUGAGGCUGCCAUCAAGAGAGCGAUGGAGGCCCAUCCCAACCGUCCCACCUUUAUUAUUUCCUACUCCAUAAGUUCCAAAAUAUUUUUUUUCUAGUGUCUGACCACUCAUAUUGGAUUAUUAGUAAAUGGAUGUGACUAGUUAUUGGCCGGUGCGGGUUUCAAGAGAAAAAUGAGAUGUGUUUUGAAACAAAUGAGAAAAAUCUAUAUGAGUUGUGUUUUGAAAUGGAAGUAGUACUAAUAGGUGGCAUUAAUUACAUUUGCACUUACGUUUAUCCAAAUGUAAAAUAAAGCGUUGCAUCAAUGCUGAAUUUUUGGCA